rnacentral:misc_RNA from 1 species
UCUCCGCUGGUGAACCAGCGGAGGGAUCAUUACCGAGUUUACAACUCCCAAACCCCUGUGAACAUACCAUUUGUUGCCUCGGCGGUGCCUGCUUCGGCAGCCCGCCAGAGGACCCAAACCCUUGAUUUUAUACAGUAUCUUCUGAGUAAAUGAUUAAAUAAAUCAAAACUUUCAACAACGGAUCUCUUGGUUCUG